UACGUAGGUGGCGAGCGUUGUCCGGAUUUACUGGGCGUAAAGGGAGCGUAGGCGGACUUUUAAGUGAGAUGUGAAAUACCCGGGCUCAACUUGGGUGCUGCAUUUCAAACUGGAAGUCUAGAGUGCAGGAGAGGAGAAUGGAAUUCCUGGUGUAGCGGUGAAAUGCGUAGAUAUUAGGAGGAACACCAGUUGCGAAGGCGGCUCUCUGGACUGUAACUGACACUGAGGCACGAAAGCGUGGGGAGCAAACAGGAUUAGAUACCCU
rnacentral:rRNA from 1 species